CCCGUUCGUUCCCGUGGCUUCUGGAGUCUUCUAGAUGAUAGAAAAUUGCGCGACACGUUAAUAUCUCUAUGUAAACCCGACGUGUGGGCCUUUCUUCCAUAUUUCCUGAUAACCCCCUGCAGAAAUACACAAACACCAAAACUCGUGGAAUUCUGUCAGAUAAAACCCUAAGUCUAGGUGUUGGUUGCAUUUGGAUCCUUUUCCAUGAUUAAUUGAUGGUUAAUUGUGAGCAUUAAGGACCGUCAACAAUGGUGAUGACCACAAGAUGAUCAAGUGCUCAACUUGGAAAAGAAGAAAGAGAAAAACAAAACCCUAUAGAGAUCAAGGCAAAGGUAUUGCUUAGGGUUUUGGUUUAGGUGGUCAAGACACCAUAGAGGGUGUGAUCACAUUUAGGAUAGAUAGCCGUACUAUAAAGAGAGGAAUUCUUUGGCUAAGCGGUUAUCAAGUGCCACUAGGUGUCAUUGUUCAUGUGCAUGCAUUUAGAACUUUAAGGAUCAAGAUGCCCAAGAGGGGGGUGAAUUGGGCUUCUCUAAAAAUUUAAGCAACCUAUAAGCUCCAAUUCAAUCCCUUGUGCCUAAAGUGACUAGAGAGCUACCAGAUAAAAGUUUUGCAACCUAAUUCCAAUCCUAUUCUAGCAAGGCAAUUCUAGGAAUGUAAAAGCUCAAAGUAAAUGCUAGAAUGUAAAGGAGGAAAGCAAUAAAUUGCUCGGCGAUGUUUUGCUGAGGUAUCGGAGAGUCGCCACUCUCCACUAGUCCUCAUUGGAGCACCCGCGCAAGGGUCUUGCUCCCCCUUGGUCCGCGUAAGGACCAAGUGCUCUCUAUGGGCUGAUUCUUCGACACUCCGUCGCGGUGAAUCGCCAAAAACCUCUCACAAACUUGACACGAUCCACCCACAAGAACUCCGGGCGGUCUUUGUGCCUCCAAUCACCACCAAACCAUCUAGGUGAUGGCGAUCACCAAGAGUAACAAGCAAAGAACUCUCACUUGACCUAAACAAGGCACUAAAGAGUGGUGGAUGCACACUUGACUCUUGGAAUUCAACUAGAGAAGGAUUCUCAUAAGAAAUCUCUCAAAUCUCAAUCCUCUCUAGGGUCUCGCUUCUCUCUUGCACCACGAGGUGAUUCUCAACUAAUCAAAUGGGCAAGAGACCUCCCAUGGACGAGGUGGAGGAGUAUAAAUACUCCCCAUCAAGUCCAAGGGCCGGCCAACCGUUAUACACUAAAAACGGGAGCACCAGACGUUAGUUAUGUUGCAUCGGACGCACUGCACCGAGCGUCCGGUGACCUCACAACGACUAAUUGUACUCUCGCUGAUAGUCCACCGGACGCUACCUGAUAGGGUCUGGUGACACCGUCCGGUGUGAGGGUGAAACUUACACCAUCCUUGAGUUUAGGACCGGACGCUACCCGGUGAGUCCGGUGCUAGUGUCCGGUGCCCUGGUCUUCUUUAGAGCUUCCUAGGUGUAGGACCGGACGCUACGUGGUGAGUUCGGUGCUAGCGUCCGAUGCCUAACCCUAGGCACCCAGUCACUCUGACUCAAGUCAACCUCACCGGACGCACUCACAUAGCAUCCGGUGCUGUGUCCGGUGCCUGCUUUGGCACCCAAACUUCAUCAAAACGUGAUAUUUCCAAAACAAAGUUUGUUCCUCUCGAUCUAAGGACGAUCUCUGAGCUGCCUAGUGCUAGGUUUACUAAGUGUGCACCACACCUAAACCUAAAGCCUUGCCUAAGUCAAGCUACUAGAUCAAAGGAAAACAAAGUCCUAAACUACUCUAAAUGCCCUUCUUCACCAUAUGGCACUUAGACCUAGUCUAGUCUUGACGAUGUCCAACCAUCCUUUGAAAACUGAAACGAUUUCCACUAUUAAUUAGGCAUGAACGUCCCUGUUCAUCGAGUACCUAUUACCAUGACCUAACACUGAUGACUUUGCCUCUGCAAAACACACGUUAGUCAUAGUAAUCAACAUUGUCAUUAAUCACCGAAACUCAUUAUGGGCCUAGAUUCUUUUCAAUCCCCCCUUUUUGGUGAUUGAUGACAAUGACCUCAAGUAUGAAAGAAAUGAGGUUUUCAAAUGACUUGGUUUCUAUAAGAAUGAGACAAUAAGAACACAAAGGGAUUAGGCAUGCUUAUAUCAACCAAGUCUAUCAUCCCGCAUCCAAAUAUGUGAGAUGCGUACAACAGGAUAUAACUAAAUAUGGCUCAUAAUAAAUUGGAGUAAAAACGCGGAAUCAAAGUAGUAUGAGCCAAAAACAUGACAUAAGUAUAUCAUAGUGAAGCACAAGCCAUGUCUCACAACCGAAAGAGUAUCUCACACAAAUGCAUAAAAGGUAAACAUGAUGCAUGAAGAUGAAGUAGCACACAAAAUAAUCGACACCCACUCUCUAGCCCCCCCUAACUCUAUCAUACUCUAAACUCUCUCCCCCUUUGGCAUCAAGCGCCAAAAACCUAAGACGAAGGAGGUGGAGAUGGAGCAGAGGAGUCGCGCGACACGGCCGAGCUCCAUCAUCCGUGCCAUCUGCCGUCAACUCGGAGGAGGUAGAGUGACCCUCUGAAACUACCUGAGCUGGAGAAGCUAUCUGGGUCUGCUCUGUAGGCUUUGUGGCUGUCAUAGUCUGUGUUGGAGGCUCAAGUCCUGCUGAGGAGGCUGACAUAGACUCUGUAGCUGUCGCUGACGUCUCAAGAACUGUAGACGAUGGUGCUAGCUGCUCAGAUGACGCUACGGACGAGGACAAGCGCUCGGUAGUGGUGACCGGCAAGGUGAAAGCUGCAGGAGCCUGCAGUGGAGGUGGUGUCGGCUGCCCGGUCAGAGCACUAUAGGAGAACGAGAUGUCCUGUCUAGUGUUGAUAUUUGAGAACGCAAUAAAGAAUUGAUCCGCAAGCGCACGGAUAUCGGUGAGCACUUCACCUGGGAGGUUAUCCAGAGUACCGUAUUUAUUUUUUUACCACUAGGAGAAAGAGUGCAUCUGACUAACCCAGUCUAUUACCACUAACCUUUAGGCUACAAAGAAUAUUUCUCUAUAUGAGUGAUAUAUAGAGAAGACUACAAAUGUAGUCUCUUUCUAACCUUGGUAAGGAUGAUCUACUGUUCUAUUGGGGAAGCAUACGGAAUCUAGACACCACAGAGGAUGUUCAACCCGCACCUAUAAACCCUAUCCUUCCUGCUAACGAGAUAUGGUCUGCAAAGGUAACUCGGAAAUGUCACGUUCCUCGCUACUACCAUGGUCCAGCUAGUCGGGGGAUAUCUAUGAGUAUCCUAGCCCAAACACCACGUUUACGCUAGAGAUGAUUACUCUAAACUCUACGCAAAGAGAUUAAAGUAAACUCAUAAACCAAAGAACAAUAAAACAAGAACUUACUAGAAUUUAGAAGUCGAAAUACUGAAGAAUCCUAGGAGCAAGCUUCGGGUUAGGAGAACUUGAUCUCGCAGGUACAACCUCGGAGUAGACACCGACAGGCCGGGCUUCCUCUGAUCUACACCUCCACUCUAUCUCUCUCAAUCUAGUAGAAACUAGAAGAUCUAAUUCUACUCACAUUGGAUGCUAAGCCCUAAGUCUAUUUAGAGGAGAGGUAUUCCUUCAAGGGCUCCUCUCAACUCUAUAAUGAACUUGUCUCUCCUCCAGGGGCUAGGGGUCUGCUUAUAUAGUCCCCUCAGGUAAACGUGGGCCACUGGAUCAUACCGACAUUGAUUGAACGGUUAUCCUUAAUCCUUUAGGUCGGUGGAGCGUGAUCCGCGAAGUUGGACGGGAUUGGUUACAACACCUGGGCGACCGCCCUAGGGGGGUGGGCGGGUGCCCUGCCCCUGGGCCCGAUCGCCUUCUCGUUCGUUCCCAUGGCUUCUGGAGUCUUCUAGAUGGUAGAAAAUUGUGCGGUGCGUUAAUAUCUUUAUGUAAUCCCGACAUGUGGGCCUUUCUUCCUUAUUUCCUGAUAACCCCCUGUAGAAACAGAUAAACAACAAAACUCGUGGAAUUCUGUCAGAUCAAACCCUAAUUCUAGGUGUUGUUUGCAUAUUGGUCCUUUCUCUUAUUUAUUUGAUAAUUAAAAUUGAUACUUAAGAACCGUCAACAAAUACCCCCAUACUUAGGCUUUUACUCGUACUCGAGAAAAGGAUGGUUAAUAAAAAUAUCUGGGGAUAAAACUUUUUCUUCAUACCUGCAGGGUCUAAAAAUCUACUGUGUACCAUAGUCAGGGAAAUGUAUGGUCAAGAGUAUAGAUCCUUUCUUCCCAAUCCUAUCACUUGGAGUUUUUGUAUAUUUUUGAAAAGAAAUUUAGCAUACCUUUAUCCUCAUAGGUUCUCUUAGGUCACUCAUUUAUCUUUUAUUUAUCUCACUGAGGCUGUUUUAAUUUACACAAAUUCUCAACCAUACUUACCUUGCAUUUAUUGCCUGAUCAAAACGGGAUCCGAGGAGAAGAAUGCCAUACUCUUAGAUCAAAGACUUUGAAAAUUAAAAACUUGUCAACUCUUACUGGCAUAUUGCUUAUUAGAGAGACCAUGGGCUAUCAUUUUCUUCUCUUUCUCUCUCUUUUUUUUCAGCUGGAUACCGAGGUACCCCUUAUUCUACUGCCGGACACUUGUCCAUUUUUUCUGCGAGGUUAUCGAGCACUUGCUCCUUUUUAUUUCCUUAAAUAUCCUUAUUUUUGCAUAGCCCAUGCCUCUAAUUCAUAAUACUUCGGAAGAGUGAAUCUUUUUGAAUAAAUGUCUUGAUCUUAGGAGCAUGAUAAAUCUCUCAACAAGGGUCUAACUCAUUUCAAACUCAAUACAGAGCAGAUAGCUUUUAUAAUUAUUAAUAUUUUCAGGUUUAAUAGGCAUAUAAAACACUGAGGAUGGUAGCUAGAAUUUUUAAAUAAAUUCUCCAAGCAACAAGAUAUCAAGAAUAAGGUACUCGUACUCUACCAUCUCACUUUCCACAAUGACUUAAGUAACACAGGGUUUUAAAAUGAUUUUUCAAUAAUUGCAAGUUUUCAGGAAAUUUCACAGAGUGAGAUUAAUCAUGAUUAGAAACAUUUUAAUCUUUUUAAUUUAUCAUGUCGGAGACAAUAUUCUGCAUAAUCUAAGAUAUAUGUGUAUGUGUAAAGUGUGCAGAGUAUGUACCUGAAUCGUGGAGUGGUGUAGUCAAAGUGUAUUUGGCGUGUCGAGGGAUCUCCCCCAUACUUGUUUUCUGCUUUCUUGCACAAAAAUAAAGUAGAGACACACAAUACAUAAUAAUAAUAAUAAUACUCUUUAUUAAUCUUGAGGCAUUUAUUACAAAUGACUAGUAGCAAACUGAUGAUAAUAGUAAAUCUAAACCGAAUUUAAAGAUAAACAACUAAGAUGCAUUGCCUCAAAAUCUAAUCUAGAUAACUUAGCGGCGCUCUAACUCCUUGAUUUUCUUAUUGGCACUAGCAAGAUCAUGCCUAAGACCUAGUAUAAUGGUGUUGUCGUUAGAGAGCUGCCUAGUCAUAGAGUUAAUUGAGGACUGAAGGUCUAUGAUGACCCUAUCUAGUCUGCGAACGUCCUCAUCAAUAUCUACUAUAGUCUUGCGACGCUUAGGAGGUGUCUCGAAAGCAUUGAGAGCGUGCUUCGGGGCUGCCUUUGGAGGGAUGAAACAGACUUUGGCUGCUCUAAUCCCUUCAAAGUAAGGUCUAUCCUCCUCCGUAGUGUAGCGGAUGGUGCUGAUCUCGCCGCUCCGGUUGGUCUUGACUCCAACGACCCUCUCAUUGGGUCUGGGUGGAAGGAUCCUUGUGCCGGCUGGCACCUUGAUGGUGGCCUCCUUCUUGGCCGAUGGUCCCUUGAGAAGUAGGGUGUAACACCCCAAAAUUUGCAAUUUUCCAAAAUAGGAUAAAUUGUUAACUUGUGUAUUUUUGUGCCCAUGAAAUAUAGGAAAAAUAAUAUUUUUCUUUGAAUUAAAAUUUACUAUAGGAGUUAGCAACUUGUUUGAGCACGCAUGUCCUUGCAUUUGAUUUAUUGUAAUGAGUGAUUUUGACUAAGGUUCAAAAAUAUAUUUCAAACAGAUUUUAAAUUAAAUUUGAAAGAGGUUUUGAAUAAAUAAAAAGAGAGAUUUAUUUUUCUCCUUCCUCUCCUUGGAAAUCGGCCCGAAGGCCCAGAACUUUUUCCCCCUCCUUCUUGUUCUCUGUGGCCCAAGUGGACCGCGGCCCAGCUUCCGGCCCACUGCGCAACAGCCCAGCGCCAGCGCUUUUCUCCCCUCUCUUCUUCCACCGACAAGCGGGUCCCGUGCUUCUAGGUCACAGACAGGUGGGGCCCACCUGUCAGGGCCUUCUUCCACCUUGUGAUGGAGCCGGACUCCACCAUGAGAUUGAACCCGCCGCGCGGAUUCGCCGUGUUUGGCUUGCCCCGCAAGCCAUGACCCUCUUAAAUAGUGGCCUUGGCCUCGCCGAACCCCCCCAACCCCAGUUUUGGCACGGACUCGAACCCUAGCCGAGCUGUUGCCGUCGCCGAAUAGGAUCGAGAUCGCCGCCGAAGGUGAAGUCUCGGUUCAUAGCGCCUCUGCCUCCGUGAGCCCCUUGCCGAGCCUCUUUUCUCCGUGAGAAGUCGCCGAGACUCUUUGCUCGCGAUUUCGUGCUUUCUGUGCACGGCUAACCCUCGCCGAACUCCUUGCAGAGACACCGUCCGCCCCUUGCCGUCGUAAGCCCAAGUCGGACUCUGUCGGUUCCAAUCUUGGCCCCAGGUGAGUUCGCACCGAGCUCCUCCGCGUUCUGGUGCUUUCGGUUUAGUCUCUCGUGUCCUAAAUCGCGCAAACCGCGAGCUCCGGCCAUGUUCGGCCAUGGCGCCAUCGCCGGCACCUCCAACUCCGGCCGUCUGCCUCCCCUCCCCCACCCCCGAUCUAAUCUUGGCCAUUCACUCGCGAUCCAACGGCCCCAGAUGAAGGAUACCCCUUCGGCCGCGAUUUUUGCAAAAGAGCCCCCCCUAGUUUUUAAAGUCUUAACCCGCAGUCCAAGCGCCUUUCUCAAAAUACGUUUUCUCAAUUAGAUUACGUAUUCCGAUCGGUUGAAUUCAAAAUACGUUUUCACAGUUUAAAAACGUACUCCGUGCUGGUUUAUUCAAAAUACGUUUUCAGAAAAUUACAAGUUUGCCACUGACUUUCUUUUGCUCAUAAAAUAUUCGUUUUAACUCCGUUUUGACUCGUUAAAAUUGCGUUGGUUUUGUAUUCAAAAGUUCUACAUGUUAGUCUCAAAAACAAGUUUGAAACUUUUUAUUUUCGUGAUCUUAUUUAAUUAAUUGUUUUUCUAAAUAAAAUCUUAGAAAAUUCAUAUAUUCUUCGUUUUAACUCCGUUUUGAUCCGUUCAAAUUUCGUUAGAUUCGUUUUUACGUAAUCUAUAGAUUAGUAGCUCUGUUAUACAUGCUUCCAACUUUUUAAAUCUGAACUUAGUUUUAAUCUAUUAUUUUAUUAAAGAAAAUCUUAGGAAAAUCAUAACUUCUUCGUUAUAGCUCCGAUUUUCGUGAUCUUUACGUCUGUGUGAUCGUAGAGCGAUGUAGAUUUGUUUUAUAAACUUUUUAUCUUUAUUUGCUACUGUUGGUGUAUUGUUCUAAUUAUAGGUUUGUUUUGCUUUGUAUGAUUGCCUCUGGAUGAUUGUUGUUGAUGUGAUGACUGAGUUUAGUCGGUGAGCUUUUACGUGGUGAUCAAGAAGCAGUUUGUGGAAGGUUCGGAACUAAAAGAAGGAUCUGAGUUUCAAGGCAAGUAUAGCAUGGGAUCAUUCUUGUUUCCUAAUAACUUUAAUCACACAAUUCAUAUUGCAUGUGUCUCCUUGAUAAGGAUCUCCUAGUAUUGAUCUUAUACCUUGUCACCUAUGGUUAUGCAUUGGGUAGCUUAUGCUAGUGCUCCACUAAACCAUGAUCUUGUAAUUUGAUUAAAGGAUUAUGCAAUAAACAUUAAAAGAUGACUUUUUAGCAACUUUGGAAAAGAGGGCUGGAGCAUUGGGCUAUCUUAUGGUGCUCUAGUUUCUCUCCAUAAGGACUUAUCUGUAUCUGACCAUCCGGGACAUACAGUACAACUGUGAGGGCUAUAUGGCUCUGGCUUUAGCUCAGUAUGAGGACCUUUUCUAGCUUGUUAGCGGUUACCCUUGUGGUGCAAGUGGGGGAUAGCAGACCGUGGAUUCCUGCGGGUGAGUCACACGGACUGACUAACGAAACCAAGCGGCCCUAACUUGUUAGACGAACCUUUGAAAGGCUCCAUAGUGAACCCUGCCGGUCUUCCUUGGGAGUGGGCUAAGAGGUCGACGGGCCUCGGGCAAAAGGGUAAAUCACGACUCACAGUGAAAGUGUACAACCUCUGCAGAGUGUAAAACUGAUAUAUUAGCCGUGCUCACGGUCACGAGCGGCCUUGGACCAAUACAGAAUAAAUGAACCUAAUGGCAAUUCAUUAAUGUUAUUAUUGUUAAUAUGUUGUUUAUGCUAUUCUUUAUUCACUUUACCUGAUCAUGAGUUUAUUAUGGGUUUUGACAACUUGAUGCUACUCAUAUGCUAAAAUUGUGAUAACUAAAAGCUACAUGCAGUUAAACCAAUGUCCAACCUUUGAGCCUCAUGAACCCCAUGUUAUUCUUGUUGAGUACGAGAUGUACUUACGCUUGCCUUUACAUUUUAUUUGGAUAAAAAUCCCGGAUGGGUACCAGAUUGCAAGCUUGGAAAAGAGUUUAGGCUUGUGCUCAACCAGUCAGUUGUCCCUGUGGAUUUGGAGCUUUCGCUUGAGGAACGGGGUGUCUUUCCGCUGUUUGCUAUCCAAGGUUAUAUCUUUUAUAUUAAGUUCGUUAUAUGUAAGCAUUGUCUAUUGAUAUUACCCCUAUUUGUGGCUAUAUGUGAGAUUUGACUUCCUGGGCUCACAUAUGGUGUGUAUCUGGUUUUGUUCUUAAAACCGGGUGCUACAUAGGGGCUGCAGCGGUGCGGUGAGAACUGGUUGAGCAUGGUAGGAUUGGGCGGAGCUGCGCUGGCGUAAUGCGAUGGCUUCUAGCUGUCGCUUUGUGUUGGCUGGGACGAGAGCACGGGCGUCGGGGUCUUCCUUAGGCUUCUUGUUGAGGUCGUAGGGGACGACUUCCCAAUCAUCGUGGAACUCUUCGGCCAUUGGAGCAGCGAGGAACUAAGCAAGCUCUAAUUGAAGAAGAAGAGAAGGCUUGAAUAGAUUGGUGUUUGAAAACUGACGUCAGGGGUUGUUUAUAUAGGGGUCAAAAAGUGCCUCUAGGGGUUGUUUGGGUUACUCCCGUCGCCGUGCGUGUGAAACUUUCCAUCUGUGUGAUUAUUUGGUUUACCAUAAAUGUGUUUUCCGCGACGGAGGAAAUCGGGACCGAGAGGGGUCAGGGGCUGGGCGCCCACCCUAUGUCUGGCCCCUCUGUGGGCCCGCUUCCUCGAGCGUGCUUCUAGAUGUAAAACUUAUUAGGAAAAUAUAUACAUGGCCCUAAAAUGUCAGAUUAAAAAGGUCGGGCUCUAAAUCUCCAUGGGAAGGUAAAAAUGGAUCACGUCUAUCUCUUAUAAUUCUUUAUUGGGCUCUAAAAAUAAUUUAAGACGUUGACCAUUUACCUUAAAUAGCGUACCUUCGUUAUUUUGAAGUGUGAUAGCUCCGUGGGAUGAUGAAUUGAUUACCUUGAAUGGUCCUUCCCAUCUACUCCGGAGUUUUCCAUGCCCGAAAAGCUUCACCCUGGAAUUAAAAAGUAAUACCUUAUCUCCGGGUGCGAACUCCUUCUUCUUGAUCCUCUUGUCAUGCCACCUUUUAACUCUUUCUUUAUAGAUCUUCGAAUUGUGAUAUGCUUUCUCUCGCCAUUCUUCCAAUUCUGAUAGUUGCAUUCUUCUAUGAUCUCCAGCGACAUCUAGGUCCAUAUUCCAUCUCCUUAUGGCCCAGUGUGCUUUGAACUCUAAUUCAACAGGUAGGUGGCAAGUCUUCCCGUACACCAAUUGGUAUGGGGACAUUCCAAUUGGGGUCUUGUAUGCUAUCCGGUAUGCCCAGAGUGCAUCGGGUAACUUGUCUUUCCAUGCCGUUCCCAUUUUAUUGACUGUCUUCUGAAGAAUAUUCUUGAUUUGCUUGUUGGAAGUCUCUGCUUGGCCACUUGUCUGAGGACGGUAGGGGGUAGUGACGUUGUGACGGAUUCCAUGUUUUGAUAGAUAUUGCUUGAAGCGUUUGUCGAUGAAGUGUGCUCCUCCAUCACUUAUCACUACUCUGGGAACUCCAAAUCUUGGAAAUAUAAUUUCUUCAAACAUCCUCUUUGAACUGAUGUUGUCAGCGUGUUUGCAAGGUAGUGCCUCUAGCCACUUGGAGACAUAGUCAACUACCACCAAGAUGUACUCACACUUCUUUGAUGGGGGAAAUGGACCAAAUAGUCUAUUCCCCAGACAUCAAAGAGCUCAAUCUGAAGGUUGUUGGUGAGUGGCAUGGCAUCCCUUGUGUUUAUGUUUCCGUGCCGUUGACAUGGCCCACAUCUUCUGAUAUAUUGCUUCGUGUCUUCAUACAUUGUAGGCUAGUAGAAUCCACACUGCCAGAUCUUUGAAUGUGUACGGAAUGCUCCAUAAUGACCUCCAUAUGGUCAUGAAUGACAUCUGUCGAUGAUCUUCCAUCCUUCCUCGGUGGUCACACAUCUCCUGAGUAAGCCAUCAGAGCAUACUCGAAAGAGGUAUGGCUCAUCCCAUAUAUGUGAACGACUUUCUUGAGUAAGCUUCUUCUUGAUUUGCUCCUGGUGGUACAUACCCUGAAACCAUAAAAUUAACAAUAUCUGCAUACCAGGGGUCAGACCUGUUAAUCCUGUAGAGCAUGUCAUCUCGGAGUGAAUCAUUGAUGGGGGUUUUUUGCGGAUUCUUAAAAUACAUUCUAGAUAAGUGAUCAGCAACAGUAUUUUCUACUCCCUUUUUAUCUUUUAUUUCUAAGUCAAAUUCUUGAAGUAAUAAUAUCCAUCUAAUCAAGCGAGGUUUAGCAGCUUUUUUAGUGAGCAGAUAUUUUAGUGCAACAUGAUCAGUGUAAACUAUUAUUUUAGCUCCAACAAAAUAAGAUCUAAAUUUAUCAAUGGCAAAGACAACAGCCAAAAGCUCUUUUUCAGUGGUUGCAUAAUUAAGUUGAGCUCCUGUCAAAGUUUUACUGGCAUAAGCAAUUGCUUGAUGCUUCUUAUCUUUAGUUUGUCCCAAAACUACCCCCACAGCAUAAUCACUAGCACACAUAAUUUCAAAAGGCAACGACCAAUCAGGGGGUUGAAUGAUUGGUGCAGAGAUGAGUGCAUUCUUUAAUAAAUUGAAAGAUGUUAGGCAUGCAUCAUCAAAUUUGAAAGGAGCAUGUGUUGACACCGUUUUUGGGCACGUGUCUGGGAUGGCAGGAUAAGGUGGCAGUACGAUGUUUACAAAGUGGGUUGCCGAUGAGGAUGGUCGCCGAUGAGGGAGAGGUUGAACGUGACUAAGUCCACAUGCAGUAAUAUGGUGCCGAUGGCUAGAUAAGAAGGUCUGCCGAUGACUAUGGCAAAGGGUCUGCCGAUGAUGCAGAGAGGGAGUCCGGAAGCUGCCGGUCGUUAUAUGGAGGAGUUUCAGUUUGUCACGAGGGAUAGUUUUGUUAUUUCUUUAACUAUUUACAUCGUUUUGUAUACGGAUUCCGUGUAAUUUGGAAUUCGAAUUCUAAUCGUGUCUGGUUGUAGCUCUUUGAGCAGGGUAUAAAUGUAGACCUUAGGGCCUUGUAAUAUCAAGCAAUCAAGAAAUCAAACACACGUUUUUACUCAUAUUCCAGUAUUUACUUUUCGACGACUUCGUCAUACUUUUUCCUUUUGUUACGAGUUCUUAGGAAUUCGUCGACUUAAGUUCGGCGUGUUCUCAAGUUCCGCGUGAGUACCUCCUAGCCGUGACAUCCGGGCGCAUCGCUGUUGUCAGGACUAAAGUAUUCGAGUUAUCACCUUUGCCGAUAGCAAGGUCAAAUCGGCUGGCACGCCUUAACGUUUGAAUCGGGUAUUAGCCCUUUGUGUUUGCAGACCAGUUUUGCAUCAACACAUCUUUUGGCACGCCCGGUGGGACAAGAUUCAAGAUCAAGAUCAACAUGUCGAUCUCUGACCUCGAUCAAGAGAACGUCAUCCCCGUGACGGAGGCCAACCUCAAGGAUGAGCAGAAGCAAGCUAUUGCCCAAGCCAUGGAAGAGUUCAAGCAGCAAUGCCUGAGGUCUUUCAGCAUAAACAGGAGCGGCGAAGUGGUCCAGAAAGAUGCACUGCCGGCACCACGGCAGGUUACCUUUGACGCCAAUCCUGGCAAGCUUCAAGAUAUGGUUGACAAUGCCAUCAAUCGAGCGUUGAUUAACCAAGCUGGUGUACUGUCUAAUACGGUUUUCAAUGCCGUGGCAAGAACUUUCAAGGAAGGACAAAUCCCACCAGAUUAUGUGGGCCCCUCCCAUCAUCAGCCAACGGCACCAGAGGUCACGGCUCCAUCGGCUGCCUUGACGAAUGCAAGUGCACAAUCUGCCGUCCCUCCAAGUACAUCGGGGACUACUGGUGCACUAUCUAUGCCGAUGGCAGCCAACCCACAAAUUUCAGUUGGGCAGCAUAAACUGACAACAGAUAUGUUGGCAUCGGCAAUGUCAGGGUUGACUCUUCCUCCCAACUGGUGGGGUUACGGUAUGCCUCCAGAGUUGACGCCGGGAACAUCACAAAUAACUGACAUGAGAGGCAAAACUCCUAUGACAUCGGCACCUCUCAAUGCGCCGGUGAACCAGAGUCCUCGGUAUACCACAACUACUACUGCAAGGCCUCACACUGGAAAUCCUCAAGAUUCAAUGUUCCAGAUGCCCAACGCAUCGGCAGAGUCAAUGCUGAUGCAGCAGAGGUCUAUGGCCCAGUCGGGGUAUGUUAAUUCAACGACGGUACCCAAUUACCAAUCAUCGGCAGCACCUAUGCCGAUGAACGCUAAUAAUGGAUGGCUUGGACAGCAAGCCUUUCCACAAUCGCCCCAUCAGAGUUACCAGACUACAGGGUUCCAGCAAGGGCAGGUCUAUCCCGGGUUCCAAGGUCAGGGGAUUCCCAACCAGCCAAUGAAUUUUGGACAGCAACUCGGAGGACAGCCAAUCGGUGGACAGCAGUUUGGUGGUCCGCAGAUUGGAGGACAGGUGAUCAAUACAAUGUUCCGUGCAGAUCACGUCCCGAACAGACACGUGGAGGUUCGCCACCAAGUGCCAGAUCCGCAGCCGCCUCAUCGGCAAGAUGCCGAUGCAUAUUGGGCCGAUAAGAUUGCUGAAGUAAUGAGGGAACAAUUUGGGAUAAAACCCAAAGUCAACACUUAUUCUUAUCGGACACCGUAUCCUCCCGCGUAUGAUUUGAUCCCGCUUCCACAUCGGUACAAGGUACCGGAUUUUACAAAGUUUUCCGGGCAGGGCGACACGUCAACCAUGGAGCAUGUCAACAGGUUCAUUAUUCAAUGUGGAGAGGCUGGUAACAGAGACGAAUUGAGGGUUUGCCUAUUUUCAUCAUCAUUGUCUGGAUCGGCCUUUCCUUAGUUCAUAUCAUUACCUCCCAACUCAGUAAUUACUUGGGCCGAUCUAGAGAAGCAAUUCCACAGAUAAUUCUUCUCGGGGGUUCAUGAGAAGAAGAUCACCGACUUGGUCAAGUUGAAGCAACGUAAUGAUGAGUCAGUUGAGGGAUUUGUGCAGAGGAUACGAGAGGUCAAGAAUAAAUGCUAUGGCCUGGUUCUGGAUGAUCGGCAGCUAGCCGAUUUGGCUUUCCAGGGUUUGUUGCCACAUAUCAGGGAUAAGUAUGCCUCUCAAGAGUUCGAAAGUUUAAGUCAUUUGGUGCAAAGGAUUUCUGAUCAAGACAUCAAGCCUUUCGAACCUAAAAGAGCAUGGAAUAGGAAAGUGUCAUUUGUUGAUGAAGCAACAAGCUCACAUUCUGAUGAAGAACCAGUAAUCGGUUUGGCAGAGUGGGUAAAAAACAAGAAGCCGAUGUCUUGUCCUUUUGGGCAGAAGGAACUAGAGAAGUUUGCUUUUGACACCGCUAAGGCUGAUAGGAUAUUUGACUUUCUACUUCAGGAAGGUCAGAUCAAACUGUCACCUAACCAGGUGAUCCCAUCAGCGGAAGAGUUGAAGAGGAUGAGAUAUUGCAAGUGGCAUAAUGCAACUUCCCAUGACACCAACGAGUGCAAAGUAUUCAGACAGCAGCUGCAAUCGGCUAUAGAGUCAGGGAGAAUCAAGUUUGACAGUUCCAAAGCCCAGAAGCCGAUGAAGAUAGACCAACAUCCUUUCCCGACAAACAUGUUGGAUGCUAAGGGGAAGGCUAAGGUCUUAACAUCAGAAACAGCUGAAAAGAGUGCAUCGGUAGAUCCUCAGCAUCAAGUUACUACUGCCGAUGCAAGAAGUAAGGGCUUGGUCCAGGAAGGAACUAGCUCAGGAAGGCUUCCUCGAUCUGGUAUCAUCAUAACUCAUAGAAGGCCUCGAGAAAAUUGGCGACAACGGGAAGAUCGGUAUCGGCGCCAGCAGGAAGAUUAUCGCCGGGAAGAAGAAAGACGCCGACAGGAGUGGAAUCGGCACAGGGAUCAUUGGAAUUGUCCAUUCUUCAUCCAUUGUUGGGAGGAAGAUAUCAAGCUUCCUACUGUCAGAGACUGCCCUGAGUGCAACGGUUAUGAUCGGUACGAUAGAACCGAUCGGCGUUAUCAUGAUGAUGAACGGCGAUUUAAUGGGCCAAUCAGAGGAAGGGCGUCAGUUCAUGAUCGGCUGGGGGGCAGGCUUAGCGUUCACGAUCGACUUAGUGACCGUGGCCAGUACUUUCCCAGGAACCAAGAAGAGCUCGAGGAAAUGGCUGAUGCGCGGGUUCCCAAUGAAUUCAUAUUUUGCAGAGAUGCUAACACGCAUCGUAUGGAGUCAAGGGAGAACCGACGCCCGACGGUAAGGCAAAGGCCACUUCCUCCAUGGUGCCCUGGAGGAUUAACCAAGACACAGAAAAGGAGAUUGCAACGUGAAAGGCAAGAAGAGCUAAACAAGGGAGAGAACUCUGGAAGUCGGCAGCCGUCAGGUACUAAGAGGGAAGGUCCAUCGGCAGGCGUCAACAUGGUCUUCAUGUUGCCGAUGGAGUUUCUUGCACCAGCCAGUGAUGAUGAGUUGGAAUUUUCUGAUCAGAUAGCUCAGUUGGCUCUGGAUCCGAUGACGGCUAUCUUUGAGAAACCUGCCGAUGACGAGAGACAGCAUCUUAAAGCUCUGUUCCUCAAAGGAAGGGUUGAUGGGCAGCCAAUGGCCAAGAUCCUAGUUGAUGGUGGGGCUGCCAUUAAUAUUAUGCCGUAUGCAGUAUAUCGGAAGCUUGGGAAAGGGGAUCAAGAUUUGACCAAGACCGAUAUGAUGCUCAAAGACUUUGAAGGAAACGUGUCUCCAGUCAAGGGGGCGAUAUGUGCAGAGUUGACCAUCGGCAGCAAAACCUUGCCGAUGACCUUUUUCGUGAUCAGCGGAAAAGGUGCUUACAACUUAUUAUUGGGAAGAGAUUGGAUUCAUGCCAAUUGUUGUAUCCCAUCUACAAUGCAUCAAUGCUUGGUUCAGUGGGUAGGUGACAAGAUUGAGAUUGUCCCAGGAGAUUCUUCUUAUGUUAUCGCAUCGGCAGAAGCGGAUACUUACGAAAGGACCAGGUGCAUUUCAGGAGAAGUUUGGGAGAAAGAUUUUCUCAAAGUGGCCGAUUAUGAGAUUCCACCGAUCCAAGCAGUCGGUUCUGACGACGGUUUUUAAUGGAUAGAUUCGCCGAUGAUGGAAAAUUAGGCCAGGGAUUCACAUCGGCCGAUGAUUUGGUAGAAGUAGAUAUAGGUAGUGGUGAUAAGCCUAGGCCUACUUUUAUUAGCGCUAAAUUAGAUCCUGAGAGUAAGCAACAAUUGACUAGUUUGUUAAAGGAAUAUAAAGAUUGCUUUGCUUGGGAUUAUACCGAGAUGCCUGGUUUAGACCGAUCAAUUGUUGAACAUCGGUUACCCAUCAAGUCUGGAUUUCGGCCACAUCAGCAACCAGCCCGCCGAUGUAAUCCUAACGUUCUACCUGAUAUUAAGGCCGAAAUCACCAAACUUAUUGAAGCUAAGUUUAUUCGGCAGUGUCGGUAUGCCGAGUGGAUUUCCAAUGUUGUUCCGGUUUACAAGAAGAGCGGGAAGCUUCGGGUGUGCAUUGAUUUCAGGAAUCUCAAUAAAGCUACGCCGAUGGAUGGAUAUCCAAUGCCUGUCGCCGAUCUACUGGUUGAUGCUGCAGCUGGUCAUCAGGUCAUCAGCUUCAUGGAUGGUAAUGCAGGUUACAAUCAAAUAUUCAUGGCGGAGGAAGAUAUUCCAAAAACCGCAUUCAGGUGUCCUGGUCAUGUUGGGCUAUUUGAAUGGAUAGUCAUGACUUUUGGGUUGAAGAAUGCUGGUGCUACUUAUCAAAGGGCUAUGAAUUUUAUAUUUCAUGAGUUCAUCGGCAAGCUCGUGGAGAUUUAUAUUGAUGAUGUUGUGGUUAAGUCUGGAGAUUUCUCAAAGCAUCUUGCCGAUUUACAAAAAGUGUUAGAGUGCACAAGGAAGCAUGGAUUGAAGAUGAAUCCCAAAAAGUGUGCAUUUGGUGUAUCGGCAGGGCAGUUUCUUGGUUUCAUGGUACAUCAGAGGGGUAUUGAAAUUAGUCGAAGAUCCAUUGAUGCCAUCAAUAAAAUAGUGGCCCCUACCAACAAAACCGAGCUCCAAUCCUUGAUCGGCAAGGUAAAUUUUAUCAGGAGAUUUAUAUCGAAUUUGUCUGGUAGGAUUCGUGCUUUCAGUCCUCUUCUUAAAUUGAAAGCCGAUCAAGAGUUUAUUUGGGGAGAAGAACAGCAGUUGGCUCUGGAUGAAAUCAAGAAGUAUCUAGUAAAUCCUCCAGUUCUAGUUCCACCUCAACAAGGGAAGCCCUUCAGAUUGUAUUUAUCUACCGAUGGAUCGGUUAUCGGUUCAGCUUUAGUUCAAGAAUUUGAAGGGAAAGAAAGGGUAAUUUAUUAUUUGAGCAGGAGGUUGAUUGAUGCUGAAACCAGGUAUUCGGCCAUUGAGAAACUAUGCUUAUGCUUAUAUUUUUCAUGUAUCAAGCUGAGACAUUACCUGUUAUCGGCCGAAUGCACGGUUGUUUGCAAAGAUGACGUGGUCCGAUACAUGCUAUCUAUGCCGAUUAUGAGUGGUAGGAUCGGUAAGUGGAUUUUAGCGCUGUCGGAGUUCGAUUUGCGUUACGAAUCGGCUAAGGCAGUCAAAGGGCAGAUUAUGGCCGAUUUUGUGACUCAGCAUUGCGGUCUAGUGGAAACCUUGGAAAUUGUGCCCUGGACGCUCUUCUUUGAUGGAUCUACCUGUGACCGGGGGGCAGGAAUCGGCAUUGUAUUAGUUUCCCCUAAGGGGAGGAAGUAUGAGUUUUCCUUGCCGAUUGUUGCCACAUCAACAAAUAAUCAGGCUGAGUAUCAAGCUCUGAUCAAGGGAUUGGAGUUGUUAAGAGAAGUUCGUGCUGAUGCUGUUGAAAUAUUCGGGGAUUCUAUGUUGGUUAUAAAUCAAUUGGCCGGAAGCUAUGAAUGCCGAAGUGAAGUUCUCAUAACUUAUUUCGAGAGAAGUAUGCAACUGUUAAAGGAAUUCAAGGAUUUCCGAUUGGAGCAUGUUCCCCGAUUGCAUAAUGAAGACGCUAAUCGGUUAGCUCAGCAUGCCUCGGGAUAUCAGCCAAUGAUUAAUGCGAUAUCGGCAGUCGGUGCCAGUGAUUGGAGGAAAGAAAUUAUUGAUUAUCUAAAGGAUCCAUCCAAAAAAGUUGAAAGACGGGUUCGAUUUCAAGCAACCAAGUAUGUGCUCCUUGAAAAUGAAUUGUAUUAUCGAACUAUCGACGGAAUUCUUCUCCGAUGCAUGGGUGAUGAUGAAGCUAGAAGUUUGAUGGGGGAAAUCCAUGAAGGAGUGUGUGGAGCGCAUCAGUCAGCUUUUAAGAUGAAGUGGAUGAUUCGAAGGAAUGGAUAUUUUUGGCCAACCAUACUUGAAGAUUGUUUUAAAUAUUUCAAGGGAUGUCAAGGUUGUCAAAAGUUUGGUAAUAUCCAGAGAGCACCCGCAUCGGCUAUGAAUCCUAUAAUAAAGCCUUGGCCGUUCCGGGGAUGGGCCAUCGAUCUGAUCGGCCAGAUUUAUCCACCAUCUAGCAAAGGGCAUAAGUUCAUUCUAGUUGCCACUGACUAUUUCACUAAGUGGGUUGAAGCUAUUCCUUUGAAGAAAGUCACAUCGGCCAAUAUGAUUGAUUUUGUGAAGGAGCAUAUUAUUUGCCGAUUUGGGAUUCCCCAAACGAUUACUACCGAUCAGGGCACCAUGUUCACAUCGGGGGAGUUUGAUGAAUUCGCAAUCGGUAUGGGAAUUAAAGUGUUAAAUUCUUCUCCUUAUUAUGCUCAAGCCAAUGGGCAGGCCGAAGCGUCUAACAAAGGAAUUAUCAAGCUUAUUAAACGAAAGAUUGAAGAAAAUCCUAAGCGGUGGCAUACAUUAUUAAAUGAAGCCUUGUGGUCUUAUCGGAUGGCUUGUCAUGGAUCGACCAAAGUAUCACCCUAUCAAUUGGUGUAUGGACAUGAUGCAGUGUUGCCUUGGGAGAUCAAGACUGGAUCUAGGCGAUUAACUUUUCAAGAUCAAUUAACUUCCGAUGGUUAUGCCACUUUGAUGACCGAUGAAUUGGACGAUCUAGCAGGGCAUCGGUUAAAAGCUUUAAUGAGUAUAGAAGAAAAUAAGAAGAGAGUUGCUAGAUGGUAUGAUAAAAAAGUGAAGGCUAAAGAGUUUGCCGAUGGGGAUUUGGUAUGGAAAUUAAUUUUACCAAUUGGGACCAAAAGUUCGAAGUUUGGAAAGUGGUCUCCUAAUUGGGAAGGUCCUUAUCGGAUAAGUCGAUCGGCUCCUGGUAAUGCCUACAUUCUAGAAACCCUCGAAGGAAUUGAAUUUCCCAGAGCAUUAAACGGCAAAUAUUUAAAGAAGUACUACCCCAGUAUAUGGGUCGAUGCAUAGAAGUUUAGGUGCCGAUAACACUCCUAUCGGCUGGAUCCAAAUGUUUGGGGACAAGACUUAGUGCUUCAAAAGUUUAAGUGCCGAUAACAGUCCUAUCGGCUAGACUAAAAGCUGAGGAAGCAGGGAAGCGCAGAUACAAUGCCGAUGGAAACUCUAUGUGUUAAGCAGCGUCUGGAUUGCCGAUAUAGCGCGUAGCCGAAUUUGGUUGGCUGCUUCUAUCUCCUUGAUGUCAUCAUCGGCAGAACCUUCUAUCGGCUUCAGCUUCUUCUUCAGUUGGAGUGCUUUGCGACCAUGAGCAUUUCGCUCGCGCUCAGGAAGCCUGAUGGUCUCUGGCAACUGGCUCUCUUCCUGUUGGGCUUGGGACAGAGCGUUCUCUACUUCCUUGAGCUCCGCCAACAGGGACUCUUUUCUUGCCGAUAGAUCGGAUAUCUUCUGCUUCAGCGCGUCUCCAGAAGAUCUCAGGAUACCGAUGUUCUUGUGCUUCUCAUCGGUCAAAAGCUUCUCUCUCCUCAUUUCAUCGGAGAGUUGAGUCUGAGCGGCUCUAUCGGCAAGACGCCGAGAAGCUCUCUGGUACUGCAGCUGGCGACUCUCCAGAUGAGCGGCUUGGAACAGGAUUUCUUCAACAUCGGCUGGGAUUUGGCCUCUGAGAGUUCUGAACAGGGUCUUGGUAGGGUCGGAAUCAUCAACCAAUUGCGCUGUGUCCUGGUGAAGGAGAGCUGACAGUUCUUCCAGCCUGACCCUGAUCUCUGCCGAUGUGAUGCCGACCGUCUGAGAAGAGCUUGCUUCUUCACCUUCUUCUUCAGAGAGAUCGAUGGCGAAGGAGAACAGGCUAUCGGGAGAAUCUUGUUCCUGGGAGGGAAAGCAAAAUUAGCUCAUACUCAGAGGAUCGGCAAAUAGUGCUGACGGUAAACGGUGACUUACUUGCUUCAAGGCGAUCUCUUGUCUUUGACUGAGAAGCGCUGACGGAGAUGCAGGCUGAUCGGCCAAAGAUGCCGAUGGAGCUACAGGUUGAUCGGCUGAGAUUGCCGAUGGAACGAUAUCAACUGAAAGAAGACAAAAGGAGUUAUGAGACUAAAUAAGAAUAAGUUCAUCGGUAGUGAUAUUGUUGAAGUAUGUUACCUGGAGGAGGAACAACGGUUGUCUGAAUCGGGAGAACUGCCGAUGGUAUAGCUAGACCCGUCAGGCCAGUUGUUUGUUCACCUAGGUCAGCCGAUGUAUCUUCUGUUUGAGAUCCUUCCUGUUGGGGUUCUUCUAUCUAUGGUGCUUCCUGCAUAGGUGGGGGAGAUGGUGCUUGCUGUGGCUGGGCUUCUGGAGAAGAAGGAGAAGACUCCACCGGAAUUGGAGAUACCAGAGGAGGAGGGGGAGUUGCUACCUUCUGGCGCUUUGUUCCAGUCUUAGCACCCGUGGUGCCUUUUCUCUUGGGUUGGCUAGACUGGGGGGCAUCGGUACUCUCACGCCUGGCUUUCACCGAUGCGCCGGUUUGCUGCAAUAAUGAACAAGAGUUUAUAAGCAUAAAUAUAGCCGAUAUAAAGAUAGUCAGCAUAAAGAAAAAGAUUUGACAAAUUGCCUUGAAAGCCCGCGCAAGAGUGGGAGCAGCUACCGUCGGUGAUGUCUGGGUUCUUCUGGUGGUGACUUUCCUGAGGCGUACACCCCGAUGCACGAUGGAAGUUAGAGUGGGAGCAUUGUGGCCGAUUGAGGAAAUCGGGCCUGAUGGAAACAAGUCGAUCGGCUUGCCACUCCUGCUAACCGGUGGAGGAAUGUUGUCAACCUGCAAAAGGAAUACAAGGGUAAGCUGCCGAUGGAGGUAACAUUGAGAAAAUGAAAUGAUGGUCUGACUUACUUACAGUGUCAUCGGGAACUUCGUAUUCGGAGUCAAUCAUGCCGCGGUAUGAGAGUGCCGAUCUGCAGAAUAGAUGCUCUUUCCAUUCUGCCCACCAUAACUUGUAUGCCUGAGUGAUAAAAGCAGCCGGAACCCAUUCUGACAGAUCUACAUCUAUAUCGGCGUUUGGUGGUAGUUGGGCUGCUCGAGUCCACUCAAGAAGGUUGUUGAUAGUUUCUCUGGGUUUUAUCACAUCGGCAUAAGGAAGUGCAAUCGGCAACUGGCCGAAAGCUAACUGGCGAGCUAAUGCCGAUGGAUUGUAAAAUUCGUAAGUUUGAGGGGAGGUUUUUGUGCUACCAAAGAAAUUCACUGGAAUGAUUCUGGGAGUCACAAUUGCCAUCAUCACCUCAUUGUCCCUGUCGAGAGCUUCAUCAAAUGGAUUGAAGGUCAGAGGGAGCAUGCUAUCUGGGUCAUCAUAAGCCAACCAUGGUCGUUCGUCUCUGGUCAAACCCUCAUACAGAGUCUGGAAGAAUCGGCCGAUCUGAUCCGGAUUACCCCCUGAACCAGGCAGAACUAUGACAGCUUCGCCAAAGUUCAAGGGGGCGCGUGUUGCCGAUUCCUCUUCACCCAAUACAUGGUUUUCAGCUAUAUCUCUUGGGAAACGCUGUGUGAACAGGUUGAAGUUGAGACGCUUGUGCAGAUGCAGAUUGAGCCACAUGUUGACAAACCACCAGGGGCCUCCCAAGUUGCCAGUGGAUUGGCCGAGCAGAAGUUUCUGGGCUACUCGAUGGAGAAGGUGGUAAGCAGCGCCAAGCAAGUAUCGGCCGAGAGGGAAUCGGCCACCGUUAGCCAGUCUUUCUGCUGCCGAUAGGUAGACAGAAGUCGGUCCUGCCGAUCGACCACAAAAUACAAACUUGUCCAGCCACAUGUUCAGAAAGGUGGUUUGUUCCUUUAUGGUGACAGAUCCUUUCCCACGGUGCUUCUGAAUGUACCCUGACCAACCGCCGAUAGCGCGAGUCUCCACUUUGGCACUAGGGGCAGUAUCAAAAAAGUGGGUGCUAUCGGCAGAAGAUAUAUCAAGACCAGUAAGCAUGGCUACAUCGGCAAGAGUAGGAGAAGCAGGGCCGUGGCCAAAGGCAAAAGCAUUGAGGGUGUCUGACCAAAAGUAGGAUGUAGCUAUCAGCAGUGACUCGUUCCUAUGCAUAUCGGCAAUGGAUAAUCUAAUGCAUUGGGCUAGAUUCCUUUCACCCCACUGAACUUCAUUAGAGUUGCUGACCCUCAAGAACCAGUCUUUCCACCCUACAGUUGGGCUGGGCCAAGAGCGGAAGGUGUCCUUCCACAGAUCUAAGGAAAAAUUUUCAGCUCUGAAGGGGAUCCUGUUGGUUUCUGCGUUGAUAAGGUCAGUUGGAUCUGGGUCCCCUAGAGGGCCGAGGCAUUGAAGGUGUGGUUGAUCGGUGGGGAUGACAAUUUUGUUGGACAAUUCCUAGUGAUUUUGGGCGUAAAAAGAAAUACAAAGAGGAAAGAAAAGGAAGAUGUUCAGUAAAAUGAAUUGCGAGUGAACAGGGAUAUGAAGAAAAAUACAGAGGACGGGGUGGAGAUUUGACCUCAGGGACGACGAACCCGACGGCCAUCUUGCUGCGAAGGAAGCGUGUGAAGGCGCCGGAGUUGAUGAAGAGGGGUACUUGUCGGAGACCUUAGGAGUUUUUGGUGGCGCCGCCGCUGGAAAGGUAAAGUUGGAUAGCAGAAUGGUGUGAUGGGGAAGGAGUACCCAAGAAGGAACUAUUUAUAGGACAAAAUGGGCAAGGGCAAAUCCGACUUAUCUCUUUGCCGCAUCCGGGAAAUCCGAGGGUACUCAGGUGGAUAUGGUAACUGUUCGCACGGUAAUCCAGGGAUUGUGCAGGUGAUUUGAUGGGAAGCGGUCAUUAUCUGAAGAUAUUUUACUGUGCGAGAUCUCCUGGUCGGUCCAUCGGCAAUAUUCUACAACGGUCAUAUUGCCGAUGGGCGGAUAGUGGGGGAGUAACCGUUUGUGCGAAUAUCCUGGUCAGAACAUCGGCAGAUCUUUGUAACGGUAUGGUUGCCGAUGUACGGCUGAGAAAAAUGCCCGUUUAGAAAGUUGGGGAUUUCGAGAAAUCUGCGGAGGAAUAGGAUCAGAGUUGUUCAGAUUGAGGUUGUCGGUUACCAGAUUAGGAGCAUUAAUUGCGGGAAAAGCCAUCAUUACUGCAGAGAAUUUCGGAGCAUUAAUAGUUUUAUACUCCGAAACUGGGGGGCAUGUGUUGACACCGUUUUUGGGCACGUGUCUGGGAUGGCAGGAUAAGGUGGCAGUACGAUGUUUACAAAGUGGGUUGCCGAUGAGGAUGGUCGCCGAUGAGGGAGAGGUUGAACGUGACUAAGUCCACAGGCAGUAAUAUGGUGCCGAUGGCUAGAUAAGAAGGUCUGUCGAUGACUAUGGCAAAGGGUCUGCCGAUGAUGCAGAGAGGGAGUCCGGAAGCUGCCGGUCGUUAUAUGGAGGAGUUUCAGUUUGUCACGUGGGAUAGUUUUGUUAUUUCUUUAACUAUUUACAUCGUUUUGUAUACGGAUUCCGUGUAAUUUGGAAUUCGAAUUCUAAUCGUGUCUGGUUGUAGCUCUUUGAGCAGGGUAUAAAUGUAGACCUUAGGGCCUUGUAAUAUCAAGCAAUCAAGAAAUCAAACACACGUUUUUACUCAUAUUCCAGUAUUUACUUUUCGACGACUGCGUCAUACUUUUUCCUUUUGUUACGAGUUCUUAGGAAUUCGUCGACUUAAGUUCGGCGUGUUCUCAAGUUCCGCGUGAGUACCUCUUAGCCGUGACAUCCGGGCGCAUCGCUGUUGUCAGGACUAAAGUAUUCGAGUUAUCACCUUUGCCGAUAGCAAGGUCAAAUCGGCUGGCACGCCUUAACGUUUGAAUCGGGUAUUAGCCCUUUGUGUUUGCAGACCAGUUUUGCAUCAACAGCAUCCUUGGCUAGCAAAAGGGUAAGUGGUCUAGCAAUAAAUGAAAAAAUCUUUUAUAAAUCUGCGAUAAAAACUAGCAUGGCCAAGAAGGCUUCGAAUUCCUUUUAUAUUCACAAGUGGAGGUAGUUGUUCAAUUACUUCAAUUUUAGCUUUGUCUACCUCAAUACCUCUUUCAGGCACUAGGUGUCCCAGCACUAUUCCUUCCCUAACCAUAAAAUGACAUUUUUCCCAAUUAAGGACUAAGUGCUUUUCUUCACAUCUUUGCAAAACCUUGUCUAAGUUUUCAAGACAACUAUCAAAAGUUUUUCCAUAUACAGAGAAAUCAUCCAUGAAAACUUCCAUAAUCUCUUCAAUCAUAUUAGAAAAUAUAGACAUCAUGCAUCUUUGAAAAGAAGCUAGUGCAUUACAUAACCCAAGAGACAUUCUACGGUAAGCAUAAGUUCCAUAUGGACAUGUAAAAGUGGUUUUCCUUUCAUCAUCGGGAUGGAUCGGGAUCUGGUGAUACCCUGAAUAUCCAUCUAAGAAACAGAAGAACGAAUGGUUCGCUAAUCACUCUAGCAUCUCAUCUAUGAAGGGUAAAGGAAAAUGAUCCUUUCUCGAGGCUUUGUUUAGUUUUCUAUAGUCUACGCACAUCCGCCACCCUCUGACGGUGCGUUGCGGAAUUAGCUCGUUCUUCUCAUUCAUAACAACAGUCAUGCCUCCCUUUUUAGGCACAACUUGAACUGGGCUCACCCACUCACUGUGCGGCACAUGAUAUAUAAUCCCUGCAUGCAGCAACUUUAUAACUUCCUUUUUAACUACCUCUCUCAUCGCGUUAUUAAGUCUACGUUGGGGCUCUCGAGAAGGUGAAACAGAAGGAUCUGUCGGAAUACGAUGGGUACAUAUCAUAGGACUAAUUCCUGUAAGAUCUUAGAGUGAGUAGCCAAAAACUGAAUGAUGUUUCUCAAGAAUGGUCAUUAAUCGCAGAGUUUGCUCCUGAGUGAGUUUAUCACUAAUGAUCACAGGAAACUCUGGAUUAUUGUUUAGGAAAGCAUAGAUAAGACCGGGUGGUUAAGUUUUAAGUUCUAUUGGAGGUCUAGGUGUUCCUGCAAACUCGUCUAAGGGUUUAGGUUCAGAAGGUUCAGCUUCUUCUUCUAUGAAGAAAGGAGCUUCUUCUUCUAAGUCUGGUUCAUCUAAAAGCUCUAGAGAUGCAGCCUUUACCUCCUCCAUAGGAUCAGACAAAAGAUAUGACUCGGCCUUAUUAUUUAAGGAGUGUGAAAUUGUUAUUGGAAUUUUAAAAGUUUUUCCAAAAGAAAUAUGUAGCUUUCCAGUAUGACCUUCAUAAAGGAGUCUUGUAAAAGGUUGUCCUAUCAACAGGUCGAAGUCCCAUGUAUCAAAGAUAUAGAAGUUCAAAUGAACCAUGGAGCCUUCUACCAUAAGGGGUAGGACAUUAAUAAUUCCAAGACUGAGGACUAAUCGUCCCGAAUAUUCCUUUAUGACCUUUGUUGUGGGGGUUAAGACCAAAUUUUUAAAUAAUUUAAGCGCAAAAGAUUCAGACAUGAUGUUGAUCCCCACAACAAGAUUAUAGAGAGCAUUAAAUCGAUCAGAAUCAUAAGCACAGCGUAUAGUUAUAGAGGGUGUGUCCAAACAGAUCACAUCAGGGGAAAGCUCUGACUCCUCCAACCACUCGCUACUUAUGACUGAGAUAAGCUCUCUUAAUUGAUGUUCACUUGGUAAACAAAUGAUAAAAUGGCUGUUUUGGGGUCUGUUAAUAGAAUGGUAGUUUGAAAUAUUUCCAAAAUCGGCAAAAAAGACCAGAUUCUAUAUCCAGCAUGAAAUCAGGUGGUGGAAUUUCUUCCUUUUGUGGCUCAGAACUUGGGAUAGCUAAAGUAGAUGAAUUUGGCAGAGCGUCUACUUCGGCUUCGUGGGUUUCAUCAUGAAGGGUAUUAUCCAUCUCAGCUUCUAGGAUUCUAUCUAGGAUCACUCUAGCAUCAUCAGUAGGGAUACGAAAGAAAGAACCUCUAGACUUUGUAUGUAGCAUUUGUUUAUGAUCUUUCUGAAGACCUCGAAAAAAGUGAAAUAAAAGAACAAGGUCUUCAAGAUUAAGAUUUGGACCAGAUUCUAAAAGAUCAGAAAAACGUUUCCAGGAUUUUCCCAAAGUUUCAUUAUCUUUUUGUUUAAAAGAUAGGACUUCGAGUCUAAGGUCGCCGAUACGGUCGAGGGAAUAAAAAUCUAGACAAAAGUUGGCUCGUAAAACUCCCCAUUCACCUCGUUGUUGACUUACCUUCUGAUUAUACCAUUGUCUAGCUUCUCCCCUUAAAGAAAAAGGAAAAAGCUUCCAACGUAAAGUUUUAUCAGAAAUGCCUUCAAUGCGAAGACAAUCACAUGUUUGCUCAAAAUCUCUAAUAUGAAGGUAAGGGUUUUCGUCUUCCUUUCCUGAAAAGGAUAGGUUUUGAAUCAUGGCAAUCAACCUAGAACUUAACCUAUACUGGGAUGUUUGGAUAGGCUGUGAUGACUCCCAUGGUAAAAGGUCAGUUUCUGAAGGUGUUGCAAAUUGAUAGAUUGAUUUAGAAUCUUGGUUUUCCAUAGGGUAAGAAUUAAGAAAAUAAAUAAAGAAUAUAAAAGAUAAGAAAAGAUAAAAGUAUAGAUACAAGCUAGUAGUAAGACUCAAGGUUAUCUCAGCAAACCAUCUUUUUCCCCGGCAACGGCGCCAGAAAUGCUUGUUGAUAUUUGGGAACGCAAUAAGGAAUUGAUCCGCAAGCGCACGGAUAUUGGUGAGCACUUCACCCGGGAGGUUAUCCAGAGUAUCGUAUUUAUUUUUUUACCACUAGGAGAAAGAGUGCAUCUGACUAACCCAGUCUAUUACCACUAACCUUUAGGCUACAAAGAAUGUUUCUCGAUAUGAGUGAUAUAUAGAGAAGACUGCAACUGUAGUCUCUUUCUAACCUUGGUAAGGAUGAUCUACUAUUCUAUUGGGGAAGCAUACGGAAUCUAGACACCACAGAGGAUGUUCGACCCGCACCUAUAAACCCUAUCCUUCCUGCUAACGAGAUAUGGUCUGCAAAGGUAACUCGGAAAUGUCACGUUCCUCGCUACUACCACGGUCCAGCUAGUCGGGAGAUAUCUAUGAGUAUCCUAGCCCAAACACCACGUUUACGCUAGAGAUGAUUACUCUAAACUCUACGUAAAGAGAUUAAAGUAAACUCAUAAACCAAAGAAUAAUAAAACAAGAACUUACAAGAAUUUAAAAGUCGAAAUACUGAAGAAUCCUAGGAGCAAGCUUCGGGUUAGGAGAACUUGAUCCCGCAGGUACAACCUCGGAGUAGACACCAACAGAUCGGGCUUCCUCCGAUCUACACCUCCACUCUAUCUCUCUCAAUCUAGUAGAAACUAGAAGAUCUAAUUCUACUCACAUUGGAUGCUAAGCCCUAAGUCUAUUUAGGGGAGAGGUAUUCCUUUGAGGGCUCCUCUCAACUCUAUGUUGAACUUGUCUCACCUCCAGGGGCCAGGGGGUCUGCUUAUAUAGUCCCCUCAGGUAAACGUGGGCCGUUGGAUCAAACCGACAUUGAUUGAACAGUUAUCCUUGAUCCUUUAGGUCGGUGGAGCGUGAUCUGCGAAGUUGGACGGGAUUGGUUACAACACCUGGGCGGGCGCCCUACCCCCAGGCCCGAUCGCCUUCCCGUUCGUUCUUGUGGCUUCUGGAGUCUUCUAGAUGGUAGAAAGCUGCGCAGUGCGUUAAUAUCUCUAUGUAAUCCUGACAUGUGGGCCUUUCUUCCUUAUUUCCUGAUAACCCCCUGCGAAAACAGAUAAAUAACAAAACUCGUGGAAUUCUGUCAGAUCAAACCCUAAUUCUAGGUGUUGUUUCCAUAUUGGUCCUUUCUCUUGUUUAUUUGAUAAUUAAAAUUGAUACUUAAGAACCGUCAACAUCCAGCUGAAGAGUCUAACACAAGUUGAGAAGCGCUGGCAGACUAUGGUGUGAACCCUAAGCACAGAGUUGUAAACUGAGUCACCUACUCAAAACCAGAAGAGAUAGCACCCUGAGAGACCUGGUGCUGAGGCGUCGAGAACGGCUGGCUCUGAGCAAUUAGCUAAAGCGGAGGCUGAGACUGACUGUGAAGCCCACUGGGCUGUAACACUAGAGUCGGGGGCCUAACAGAGGAAGUGUCUUGAAGCUGCACCUGAGGAAGCUAAAUCCCUGACGCGGCCAUGACAGCGGCCAUCAUAGCAGUCUGCUGGGCUUGGAAAGCCAACUGGUACUCCUAGAAGGUCAGAAGCUAUCUCUGAAGCUCAUCCUACCUUGCCUACAUGGCUCCAUUGAUGGCAGCCUGAUCUCGGUCCCUCCUAGCCCGCUCCUCUGCUGAUCUGCCCUCAUCCCCUCAAGAAUAGCAAGAAGUGCAGGGUCUGUGGCACUAGAGGAGCCUCCUGCCUCGUGGUUGUGCUGCCUUGGAGGAAGAUUGUUGGGUAUUUUAAACGCAAACAGAAAAAAUCCGCAAGCGCACGGAUACCAAUGUAGCCUUCACCCGGGAGUAUUCCAGAGUAUCAAUUUUCCACAGGAAACGUGAGUGUACUAAUUAAGAUUCAAGAUCGCCCAAGGAUAACUAUAUAAUUAUUUUUGGUGGGAAGAGAGGAAGUUUCCUGAGAGUUCUUUAGUUGAUCUAAGAAUCAAGAAUUACUUCAAAGAUUAUUUAUAUCGGGACAUCAGAGCACUAACCACAGAAAGAGAUGAGAAGGGGGCUAGGAAGGUCUGACUACGGUCCUACAAACACCGAUCCGAACGAGGUGGAAUACGUCGACCGUUACGGCUGUCACUACCCUAGGGCUACCACAACAAUCCGCAGGAUUGGGUGCAAUUCCAGGUAAUUGCAAGACUAAACACCACGUCUAAUCUAUUAAUUACUACUCUAAUGUUGCAAAGAUUAGAGCACUUGAUGCAAGCAGGAAUCCAAUAAAUAACUUGAAUGUAAAUAAAAGUAAUUAAAGAACUCAGGAUUAUGAAUUGAAGAACCUGGAGAACGAUGAAGAACGAACCAGUUGCUGCAAAAGUAAAAUGUUGAGGAAGAUCUGACAGAUCCGGCUCCUCAUCCUCUGCUCUCCUCUUCUCUCUCCCUAUUUUCUAAAUUACAACUAGAACUAACAAGAACUAGAACUAGAGGAACUAGAACUAGAACUAGAUGAACUAGAACUAGAUCUAGAUGAACUAGAGGUAGAACUAGAAGAACUAGAGGGAUCCUCUCUACUUGGAUGCAGACUUGAAACCCUAACUUUGAUUCUGUAGAAGAGGUAUGAUCUCCAGGGGCCAGGGGGUCUAGUUUUAUAGUCCAUUCAAGUGAAUCUGGGCCGUCGGAUCAAACCGACAUUGAUUGAACGGUUAUUGUUGAUCCUUUAGGUCGGUGGAGCAAUAUCCCGAAAGAGUCCUGAUUGGACUCUAUGUGAGGGCAGGCGCCCAGGAGAGUAGGGCGGGCGCCCUGUCCCUGUGUCCUCUCGGCCUCCGCUUCGGUCCCGUGGCUUCUGGAGUCUUCUAGAUGAUAGAAAAUUGCACGGCACGUUAAUAUCUCUAUGUAAACCCGACGUGUGGGCCUUUCUUCCUUAUUUCCUGAUAACCCCCUGCAGAAACAGACAAACACCAAAACUCGUGGAAUGCUGUCAGAUAAAACCCUAAGUCUAGGUGUUAGUUGCAUAUAAGUCCUUUUCUAUGAUUAGUUGAUGGUUAAAUGUGAGCAUUAAGGACCGUCAACAAGCUCCCCCAAGCUUAACCUUUGCUCGUCCCUGAGCAAAGCUAAAAUCAGCAAGAAAAUAGGGGUUACUUUUAUGCCUCUUACUACAGGGUUUUUAAGGUCUUAAGUGAUUGAAAAACAGAACGAUCAAGUCAAGCACUAUGUCUCAAGUUCUUUUGUCUUACCUUUGUUCUGGAGUUUUUUUUGUAAGUUUCCAAAAUAAAACUUAGGCAUUUGCCUUCUUCUCGAAAGAUAUAUAAGUAGAGUUUUAAAAUUUUUAGCAUACUUACCAUGCAUUUUGCUAUGUUAAUGCUCGGAGCAAGGGAGAGGAAUGUCAUACUCCUAGAUCAAGACCUUUGACCUUUUUGAAAAGUUUGUCAUCUCUUACUGGCAUAUUGCUUAUUAGAGGGACCAUGGGCUAUCAUUUUUUUCUUUUUUUCUUUUUUUUUCAAUCUCUCUCUUUUUUUUCUUCUUUUUUUUAAGUGGGCACUAAGUACCCCUAAUUCUACUAUCGAACACAUGUCCAUUUUUUCCACUCAGGUGGGUAUCUUUGUACCCCUAAUUCUACUUCGGACACUUGUCCAUUUUUACCUCUCGUAUCACUUCUCUUUUUUUUCGAAUCAAAUUUUUGCAUAGUCCCAUGACGCUAACGCAAUAAUACUUCGGAAGAGUGAAUCUUUUAUAUUUUUAAAACAAAAAGAUCUCGAUCUUGGGAGCAUGAUAAUUCUCUCAACCAAAACUACAAGAAUUAACAAUGGCUUGAACAAAGCAAGUGUCCACAGUUUUAAUAUUCAUAUCUUAUAAGCCUCUAGGUAGUAUGUCAAACAAGAUCUCAAUUUUUUUUAGAUUUUCAAAAGAUAAAAUCUCCAGAACUCUAGCAAAACUUGGAACAAGUUAAAUAGUAGCUCAGACCUUCUCAUAUCAUGUUUGUCAAUUACUUAGACUUGGAUCAAACUUUUUUUUUAUUUUAUUUAAAACUUAGGAUUAUACAAAACUAUUAUAUAUUACUCAAAAGAAAAACUUUGUUUGGUUUCAUGGUUAUGCAUUUUUUUAUUUAUUUCUGAAUACUAGUAAAUAAAACCAAGAAAGAAAAGUAAUACUUAUCUAGAUACACGUGGGAGUGCCUCCCCCAAGCUGGAUGUUGACAUAGUCAUUCACUCUUGUGGCCUGCAUGGUUGGUCUCACUCUUCUUAAGCCUCAAAAUCCUGCACAACCCAAAUAGACAACAAAACUUGUGGAGCAUGUUAAGGGUUAGGUAAUUGUCUAGAGCUUAAUAUGAGAAUUCUAUGAACUCAAUCACAUCAAGUUCCUCUACCAGGUUGUUUUGUGGCUCAAGAUAGAUUUUCAAGCGUUGACCAUUUACCUUAAAAGUGUUACCUAUGUCGUUUUGGAUGGUAAUGGCUCCAUGAGUUGAAGUGUCAAUAACCUUAUAUGGUCCAUCCCACUUACUUCGUAGCUUACCAUGCCCAAAAAGCUUAACUCUUGAAUUGAAUAGUAGAACCUUAUCUCCAGGCUUAAACUCUUUGUGCUUGAUUCUCUUAUCAUGCCAUCGUUUUGUUCUCUCUUUAUAGAUCCUUGAAUUGUGGUAGGCUUUCUCUCUCCAUUCUUCUAGCUCAGAUAGUUGCAUCAGACGAUUCUCGCUAGCAAGGUGGAGAUCCAUGUUCCAUUUCUUGAGUGCCCAAUGAGCCUUAAACUCUACUUCCACAGGCAAAUGACAAGUUUUUCCAUAUACAAGUUGAUAAGGUGACAGGCCUAUGGGUGUUUUGAAUGCAGUUCUAUAUGCCCAAUGCAUCAGGAAGUUUGUCCUUCCACCCCUUACCCAUCUCAUCUACGGUCUUUUGUAAAAUAUUUUUGAUUUGUUUGUUAGAUGUUUCGGCUUGACCGCUAGUCUGAGGACGGUAUGGUGUUGCGACAUUGUGUAGAACUCCAUGAUCGGCUAGGUACUUCCGGAAGAUUUUGUCGAUGAAAUGGGAACCUCCAUCGCUUAUAACUAUCCAGGGUAUACCAAAGCGAGGAAAGAUUACUUCAUGGAACAUUCUCUUGGCAUGUUUUGAAUCAGCUGAUCGACAAGGUAGGGCUUCUACCCAUUUGGACACGUAGUCCAUAGCUACUAAGAUAUACUCACAAUUCCCGAACAUAGGGAACGGCCCCAUGAAAUCAAUGCCUCAUACAUCGAAAAGUUCUACUUGAAGAUUAUUUGUGAGAGGGAUUUCAUUUUGUGAGUUGAUAUUCCCAUGUUUUUGACAUCGGUUGCAUCUCCUGACAAAGUCCUUUGUAUCUUCAUACAUCGUUGGACAGAAAAAACCACUUUGCCAAAUUUUAGCAUGUGUCCCGAAUGCUCCGUAGUGUCCUCCAUAUGGCGAGGCAUGGCAUCUUUCCAUAAUUUGAGUAGCCUCAGCCAUAGGAACACACCUUCUCAAGAGUCCAUCAGCGCAGACUCGGAAAAGAUAUGGCUCAUCCCAAACGUGGAAACGACUAUCGUGAAGUAACUUCCUUUUGUUUGCACCAGGUGGGACAUAGCCUUUUACUAUAAAGUUUACGAUGUCUGCGUACCAUGGAUCUGCAUGUGUUAUCUUAAGCAGGGUGUCAUCCCUUAGGUAGUCAUUUAUAGGAAGCUCAUCAUGUGUUUCCUUAUAUUGAAGCCUAGACAAGUGGUCAGCUACGGAAUUCUCAACUCCCUUCCUAUCUCAGAUUUCUAUGUCAAAGUCUUGGAGUAGAAGAAUCCAUCGAAUUAGACGAGGCUUAGCAUCUUUCUUAGUGAGGAGGUACUUGAGAGCAGCAUGGUCUGAAUAGAUGAUUAUCUUUGCCCCCACUAAGUAAGAUCUAAACUUGUCUAUAGCAAAGACAACAGCCAAAAGCUCUUUUUCAGUUGUAGUGUAAUUGAGCUGUGGUCCAGACAAGGUUUUGCUAGCGUAGGAUAUGGCAUAAUGCUUUCUAUCCUUGGUUUGUCCUAAAACGGCACCAACCGCAAAAUCGCUAGCAUCACACAUGAUCUCAAAAGGAAGAUUCCAAUCAGGUGGCUGGAUAAUCGGGGCUGAGAUGAGUGCUUUCUUAAGAGUUUGAAAAGAUUCAUGACACUCAUCACUAAAGAUGAAAGGUGCAUCCUUAGCUAGGAGACUAGUUAGGGGUCUAGGAAUUUGAGAGAAGUUCUUGAUAAAGCGUCUAUAAAACCCUACAUGUCCCAAAAAGCUACGGAUUCCUUUCACAUUCGUGGGAGGUGGAAGUUUUUCAAUAACUUCAAUCUUUGCUUUGUCCACCUCUAUACCACGUUCGGACACUUUAUGUCCUAGAACUAUUCCUUCCUGAACCAUAAAAUGGCAUUUCUCCCAUUUCAGGAUGAAGUGCUUUUCUUCACAUCGCUGCAAGACUCUGUCUUAAUUCUCCAAACAUGAUCGAAGGUUUUACCAUAGAUGGUAAAAUCAUCCAUGAAAACCUCCAUGAUCUUCUCAAUCAUGUCCGAGAAAAUAGACAUCAUACACCGUUGGAAAGAAGCUGGAGCAUUGCACAAUCCGAACGACAUUCGUCGGUAUGCAUAAGUUCCAUACGGGCAUGUAAAGGUAGUCUUUUCUUGGUCAUCUAGGUGGAUUGGGAUUUGGUGAUAUCCAGAAUAACCAUCAAGGAAACAAAAGAAAGAGUGGUUUGCAAGCCGUUCCAACAUUUCAUCAAUGAAGGGUAACAGAAAGUGAUCUUUCUUUGUAGCCUUGUUGAGUUUUCGAUAGUCAAUACACAUACGCCACCCACUGACAAUUCGUUGAGGGAUGAGUUCAUUUUUCUCAUUCCUAACAACCGUCAUUCCUCCUUUCUUUGGCACUACUUGGACAGGGCAAACCCACUCACUAUGUGGCACAGGAUAAAUAUUCCCAGCACGAUAGAGUUUGAGGACCUCUUUCUUAACAACCUCUCGCAUAGCAUUGUUAAGUCUCCGUUGUGGUUCCCUUGAAGGUGUAGAAUUGGGAUCAAUAGGGAUACAAUGAGUACAGAGAAUGGGACUAAUGCCCGUGAGAUCUUAAAGAGAGUAGCCAAAUGCUGAUCUAUGCCUUUCAAGAACAAUGACAAGUUGUUGUGUUUCAUAAUCGGAAAGCUUGUCACUGAUAAUUACUGGAGUUUUUGAGUUGUUGUGCAAAAAGACAUAUCUAAGGCCAGAAGGAAGAGGUUUUAAUUCUAUCGAAGGAGGUGAAGGUAGUUCAUUUUUGUCUAGCUCAACGGGUUCUACCAACUCUUCUUCUUCUUGAACAAAGUGUUCAUGAUUAAAGAAUGGUUGGGCCAUCUCCUCUUGAGUAAGCAUUAAGAUCUCCUCAAUAGGAUCUGGUUCAAGUUUGGGUUCCACUAUCGUGUUAAUUGAUCUAGAAAGAGGAACAACAAUAGUGGAAUUCCCAACCUUGAAGUCGAAAUGACCUUGUUGUGGCUGUUCUUGUAGAAGUUUCAUGAUUGGUCUGCUAAUCAAGAGAGGAAUCUCUGGUAUGUCAAAAAUGUGAAAGUCUAGACAUAUUCGAGAGUCCUUGAUUCUAACAGGAACUACCCUUAAUACCCCAUGGCUUUCUAGAAUUAAUCCAGAUGGACUUCGUAAAAGUUUUUGAGAUGGGGUUAUGGACUCGUUGGGAUAAAGAGUGUCAGCUAACUCCUUGGAAAUAACAUUUAUCCGAACAUAUGGAUUGUAGUGGACCUUCCUAGCGGACCUUCUAAUUUGGCAUAGAAGAAUGGUUGAAGGAGUGAUGAUUCGAGCUACCUCAAGAGAUAGCUCUGCUUCUGUUAGCCAUUCAUAACUCAAGAUAGCCGAAAGGCUUUUGAUGUGUUCUAUGUCAACAGAUUCUACUCUUAGAAUGGAUUGAGUGGUCCUUGCUAGAGGUCGUGUUUGGAUAGGAAAAUUCGAGGUGUUUCCAAAAUCUUCAAAAAGAUCUUCCUCGAAUUCAAAGGGAUGCUCUAAAGGUGGUGGUUCAUCAUCCCUUAGUUGGUUUUGCAUUCCUUUAUCAGGAGGUUUCUCUACAACCAAAUUAAUGGAUGGGUCAGGUGGAAUUUCUAACUCGGUUGCAAGUUCCUCAUCUUUUGGUUUAGGAUCAGGCUCGACUUCUUUUUCUCCUUUAGGAAACUCAUCAUAAAUGCCUGUGUAAGGGGUAUUUUCAAGAAUUCUUUCUAGGAUAGCUCUCCCCUCAUCUGUGAGUUUGUGUGUGAAUGAGCCUCCUGAAGCGAUGUCGAGGUGAAGAGCAGCUUCCUUGUUUAGACCACGAUAAAAGUGGUAGUACAGUACAUGGUUAGGCAGGGAAAGGUUUGGACCAGAAUUGGUAAGGCUUGUGAACCUAGCCCAAGCUACUCCUAAAGUUUCCUUCUCUUCUUGUUUGAAUGUAAGAAUUUCGAUUCUAAGGUCAGCGAUUCGAAAGAGUGAGAAGAAAGCGAGACAAAAGUUGUCCCGAAGUUUGUCCCAGUUUCCAUUAACGCCUCCUACAGAAUGAGCAUACCACUUCAUUGCUCUUCCCAAAAGGUAGAAUGGAAAUAAUUUCCAUUUAAGGGUUUCUUGUGUCAUGCCAGAAAUAGAUCGGCAAGAGCACAACUGCUCGAAUUCUCUAAGGUGGGUGUAUGGAUCUUCAUCUACUUGCCCAGAGAAGGGUUGCUCCUGAAUCAUGGCUAUUAGAUCAGGGCCGAGGUCGUAGCCAUCUGUAAGAAUUGGAUGUGAUGAUGGUGGUGGCUCUAAUAACUCGCCCUUUGGAGCAAAGAAUUUAUAGAUAGGAGUGAAAUCCAUGUGGUGUGGUGAAAAUGGUAAGGUGAGUGUGGUAAAAAAGGAAAAGAAAAAAGAUACACGGAUGACUUGGUUCGAAACUAGCACAGCUACCGUUCCCCGGCAACGGCGCCAGAAAGCUUGUUGGGUAUUUUAAACGCAAACAGAAAAAAUCCGCAAGCGCACGGAUACCGAUGUAGCCUUCACCCGGGAGUAUCCAGAGUAUCGAUUUUCCACAGGGAACGUGAGUGUACUAAUUAAGAUUCAAGAUCGCCCAAGGAUAACUAUAUAAUUAUUUUUGGUGGGAAGAGAGGAAGUUUCCUGAGAGUUCUCUAGUUGAUCUAAGAAUCAAGAAUUACUUCAAAGAUUAUUUAUAUCGGGACAUCAGAGCACUAACCACAGAAAGAGAUGAGAAGGGGGCUAGGAAGGUCUGACUACGGUCCUACAAACACCGAUCCGAACGAGGUGGAAUACAUCGACCGUUAGGGCUGUCACUACCCUAGGGCUACCACAACAAUCCGCAGGAUUGGGUGCAAUUCCAGGUAAUUGCAAGACUAAACACCAUGUCUAAUCUAUUAAUUACUACUCUAAUGUUGCAAAGAUUAGAGCACUUGAUGCAAGCGGGAAUCCAAUAAAUAACUUGAAUGUAAAUAAAAGUAAUUAAAGAACUCAGGAUUAUGAAUUGAACAACCUGGAGAACGAUGAAGAACGAACCAGUUGCUGUAAAAGUACAAUGUUGAGGAAGAUCCGACAGAUCCGGCUCCUCCUCCUCCGCUCUCCUGUUCUCUCUCCCUAUUUUCUAAAUUACAAAUAGAACUAACUAAAACUAGAACUAGAGGAACUAGAACUAUAACUAGAUGAACUAGAACUAGAUCUAGAUGAACUAGAGGUAGAACUAGAAGAACUAGAGGGAUCCUCUCUACUUGGAUGCAGACUUGAAACCCUAACUUUGAUUCUGUAGAAGAGGUAUGAUCUCCAGGGGCCAGGGGGUCUGGUUUUAUAGUCCCUUCAAGUGAAUCUGGGCCGUCGGAUCAAACCGACAUUGAUUGAACAGUUAUUAUUGAUCCUUUAGGUCGGUGGAGCAAUAUCCCGAAAGAGAGUCCUGAUUGGACUCUAUGUGAGGGUGGACGCCCAGGAGAGUAGGGCGGGCGCCCUGUCCCUGAGUCCUCUCGGCCUCUGCUUCGGUCCCGUGGCUUCUGGAGUCUUCUAGAUGAUUGAAAAUUGCACAGCACGUUAAUAUCUCUAUGUAAACCCAACGUGUGGGCCUUUCUUCCUUAUUUCCUGAUAACCCCCUACAGAAACAGACAAACACCAAAACUCGUGGAAUUCUGUCAGAUAAAACCCUAAGUCUAGGUGUUGGUUGCAUAUAAGUCCUUUUCUAUGAUUAGUUGAUGGUUAAAUGUGAGCAUUA
rnacentral:lncRNA from 1 species